rnacentral:rRNA from 1 species
UGGGGAAUUUUGGACAAUGGGCGAAAGCCUGAUCCAGCAAUGCCGCGUGUGUGAAGAAGGCCUUCGGGUUGUAAAGCACUUUUGUCCGGAAAGAAAUCCUUGGCUCUAAUACAGUCGGGGGAUGACGGUACCGGAAGAAUAAGCACCGGCUAACUACGUGCCAGCAGCCGCGGUAAUACGUAGGGUGCAAGCGUUAAUCGGAAUUACUGGGCGUAAAGCGUGCGCAGGCGGUUUGCUAAGACCGAUGUGAAAUCCCCGGGCUCAACCUGGGAACUGCAUUGGUGACUGGCAGGCUAGAGUAUGGCAGAGGGGGGUAGAAUUCCACGUGUAGCAGUGAAAUGCGUAGAGAUGUGGAGGAAUACCGAUGGCGAAGGCAGCCCCCUGGGCCAAUACUGACGCUCAUGCACGAAAGCGUGGGGAGCAAACAGGAUUAGAUACCCUGGUAGUCCACGCCCUAAACGAUGUCAACUAGUUGUUGGGGAUUCAUUUCCUAGUAACGUAGCUAACGCGUGAAGUUGACCGCCUGGGGGAGUACGGUCGCAAGAUUAAAACUC